CCACAGAGAGCACCUGGGUGUGCGGCACUGCUUUUCUCUGGUGUUCACAGCUUUUAAAGACAGCUUUUGGGAAAGUAUGUUCUCAUUCAUAGCCGAUACAAAAGCACUUGUCUUACUGAACCACAUAAUGAAAUUAGAAGCUGCCAGAUGUCAAUCAGCGUGGCCCCAGCUUUGGGACCCUCCUCUGGAAGAAAAACGAGUGACUGAAAAUGAGUGAAGGCUUUCCCCAGUGCUGUUCCCAACAGCAUCCAAUGUGUAGACCCCUACAUGCAAAGAGACCCCAAUGCCUUCUCAGUUCCACAUGCUGUCGAUGCCUCAGAUCGUCCUGGUUGCUGUCUAUACUCACCUUGUUGACUACCCAAAGAUAUGGACCUGCUGAAUUCUUGACCUCCAUAAAGUCAAUGGUCUUCACCCCAUCCGCAUUUUGGCCAUCUUUUCCCUGGCCACCUCUCAGACCUUUGCACCAUCCCAAAGCACACUGCCUUCUAAAUGUGAGAUGUGCCUUGUUUACUUUUUACUUCUGAUUUGAUUCCUAAUUUUUUGUUUUAUUGUGUGGAUACUAUGCAUAUAAAAGAAUAUAAAGAAAGUGUACAUGUAUAUAAAAAAUAUAAGCAUGUCACCCAGCAUAGUAAAAACACUUUUAUCCGAGAUUUGGAGGCCACAUGUGAUCAUUCCCAAUGCAAAACCUCAACCUCAGUACCAAAGAUAAGCAUCACUUUGAAUAUUUUACUAUUAUUCUCCUGCAUUCUUUCUAGUCUUAUUAUUUCCCUAAAUAAUUUAGUGUUGUGUGUUAGAAUUUUAUAUGAAUGGUUAUCAUACCGUAUGGAUGUCUUCUUCUGUGUCUCGUAUUUACAUUCAAUGCCGUGUUUGUUAUUUGGCCAUGAUAAUGUUAUCAACACAAGUAAUUCAUUUUUGCAGCUGAGUUUUUCAUUCUAUGGACACAUUGUAUAAGUAUAUAACGAUAUAUUUCUCUAUUGUCCUGUCAUUGGACCUUUGCAUGGUUUACAAUUUUUGGCUAUUAGAAAUAAUGCUGCCAUGAACAUUCUUGCUCAUGCACACUGGUAUGCACUGGGGAUAUGCCAGGAAGCAAAGUUGCUGGGCUAUAAUAGCCUAUGUGCAUCUUGAAAUUCGCAAGACAAUGCCAAACUGCUUCUCCACACUCUCAUAGAUAUUUUGUACUUUUCCCAGCAUUUAAGAAUCCUCAUUGCAGUCAGGCACAGCGGCUCAUGCCUGUAAUCCCAGCAUUUUGGGAGGCUGAGGUGGGUGGAUUACUUAAGGUCAGGAGUCCAUGACUAACCUGUCCAAUAUGGAGAAACCCCGUCUCCACUAAAAAUAUAAAAAUUAGCCGGGUGUCGUGGCAGGCGUCUGCAAUACCAGCUACUCAGGAGGCUGAGGCAGGAGAAUCGCUUGAACCCAGGAGGCAAAGGUUGCAGUGAGCCGAGGAGAUCGCGCCACUGCCCUCCAGCUUGGGUGACAGAGUGAGACUCUGUCUCGAAACAAACAAACAAACAAAAAGUAUCCUCAUUGCUCCACAUACUCCCCAAUACUUGGUUUUAUUACUUUUUAAUUUGUCUUGUAAAAUGGUGAUGUCUCAUUGUUAUUUUACUUUGUAUUUUCUUGAUUACUCGUUAAGAGUGGUCAUAUUUUCAUGCUUUUAUUGCCUAUUUGCUUUUUCUGUUCUAUGAAAUGCCAUUCAUGUCUUUUGCUUAUUUAUCUGUGGGUGGUCUUUUUCUCCUGUAUUGCUUUUGCAUGUUUAUUCAGUUCUCUUCUGCCAUUUAAGUAUUAGUGUUCUUAAAGCUCAGUCUUGGGCUCUCUUUUCUUCUUAAGCUUCUUUCUUCUCAUAUAAUCCCAUCUACUCUCAGUUACCAUCUAGUCAUACCAUAUGUAUGCAAAUUACUUCUGAUUUUAUAUUUCUAGACAAGAUCUAAUUUCUAGCUUCACAUCUUAAAUCCAACUAUUUCUCAGUAUGCUCACUUGGAUGUUUCAAAGGCGUCACAAUUUUAACUUCAAAACCAAAAUUAUUAUUUUCCUCCAAAUCUGUUAUUUUUAGUGUUCCCAAUCUCUAAGUGUUGUACAAGGCAGAAACCUAGAGGGCAUUUUGACUUUCCUCUCUCUCCCAUACAUAAUUUCUCAGAAAGGUCUAUCAAGUUUACCUCCAAACCACUUCUCAAGUCUAUGUUUCUUUCCAUGCCCUCUGUAAAACCCUAGUCUAAGCUAUGUCACCUUUCAGCUAUGGCCACAGUUUUCUACUAGCCUCCCUGAAUAUAUCCUGUGUGUGUCCAUUUAGUUCUCCACACUAGAGCAAGUGAAAUAUCCAUUUUAAGUGCACAGUUGAUGAUAUGGGAAACAUCAACAGCUUCCCAUCUCUUAGAAUAAAGUCUGGCAUUGCUAACAUGUGACUGAGAACAUAGUCCAUUUCCUGGCCUCUGCCUACGUCACCUCUUGUGAUUUCUCUUGCUCCUUGUGCUCAGCUGCACCAGACUGGUUUCCAUUCCUUGAAAAUCUGCGUUUUUUUUCUGCCCUCAUUGUUGGACAGGCUACUCUCCAUUCUUAGAAUGAUACCUACAUGGUUCCAUUGUGCUUUACUUAGUUAUCACCUAAGAAUCUUAGCCCAAGCACAACUUCCUCUGAAUGUCAUUCCCUGAUAAGCCUGUCUGUUUUAUAAGCUCACCAGGAAUUACAGUCAUUUUGUAUGGACAUCUUAUGCAUCUGGAAAUAUGAAUAUCUACCCUCCCCAGGAGUUCCGUGGGGGUGGGGAAGGUGUUUGGUUUUGGUCCCCAUUAAACCUAAACCUAAUGCAGUGCCUGGCUCAUUAUAAGAACUUAAUAAAUAUUUAUUAAAUUAAUAAAUUAUACUCUCAUAUCAUCUGGUUUUUAAAAGAUAUAUCAGGUUUUAUUUUUUGUUGUUACUUGGUAUCACUGAUCUGUAAUAAAGCCCA
rnacentral:lncRNA from 1 species